rnacentral:rRNA from 1 species
GACGAACGCUGGCGGCGUGCUUAACACAUGCAAGUCGAACGGAAAGGCCCUGCUUUUGUGGGGUGCUCGAGUGGCGAACGGGUGAGUAACACGUGAGUAACCUGCCCUUGACUUUGGGAUAACUUCAGGAAACUGGGGCUAAUACCGGAUAGGAGCUCCUGCUGCAUGGUGGGGGUUGGAAAGUUUCGGCGGUUGGGGAUGGACUCGCGGCUUAUCAGCUUGUUGGGGGGGUAGUGGCUUACCAAGGCAUUGACGGGUAGCCGGCCUGAGAGGGUGACCGGCCACAUUGGGACUGAGAUACGGCCCAGACUCCUACGGGAGGCAGCAGUGGGGAAUAUUGCACAGUGGGCGGAAGCCUGAUGCAGCAACGCCGCGUGCGGGAUGACGGCCUUCGGGUUGUAAACCGCUUUCGCCUGUGACGAAGCGUGAGUGACGGUAAUGGGUAAAGAAGCACCGGCUAACUACGUG